rnacentral:rRNA from 1 species
UGACGCUCGUGGAACGAGCGGCGGACGGGUGAGUAACACGUGGGCAACCUGCCUGUAAGAUCGGGAUAACUCCGGGAAACCGGGGCUAAUACCGGGUAAUACUUUCUUUCGCAUGAAGGAAAGUUGAAAGAUGGCUUCUCGCUAUCACUUACAGAUGGGCCCGCGGCGCAUUAGCUAGUUGGUGAGGUAACGGCUCACCAAGGCGACGAUGCGUAGCCGACCUGAGAGGGUGAUCGGCCACACUGGGACUGAGACACGGCCCAGACUCCUACGGGAGGCAGCAGUAGGGAAUCUUCCGCAAUGGACGAAAGUCUGACGGAGCAACGCCGCGUGAACGAUGAAGGUCUUCGGAUCGUAAAGUUCUGUUGUUAGGGAAGAACAAGUACCGUGCGAAUAGAGCGGUACCUUGACGGUACCUAACGAGGAAGCCCCGGCUAACUACGUGCCAGCAGCCGCGGUAAUACGUAGGGGGCAAGCGUUGUCCGGAAUUAUUGGGCGUAAAGCGCGCGCAGGCGGUUCCUUAAGUCUGAUGUGAAAGCCCACGGCUCAACCGUGGAGGGUCAUUGGAAACUGGGGAACUUGAGGACAGAAGAGGAGAGUGGAAUUCCACGUGUAGCGGUGAAAUGCGUAGAUAUGUGGAGGAACACCAGUGGCGAAGGCGACUCUCUGGUCUGUUUCUGACGCUGAGGUGCGAAAGCGUGGGUAGCAAACAGGAUUAGAUACCCUGGUAGUCCACGCCGUAAACGAUGAGUGCUAGGUGUUAGGGGGCUUCCACCCCUUAGUGCUGAAGUUAACGCAUUAAGCACUCCGCCUGGGGAGUACGGCCGCAAGGCUGAAACUCAAAGGAAUUGACGGGGGCC